GACGAACGCUGGCGGCGUGCUUAACACAUGCAAGUCGAGCGAUGAAGCACCUUCGGGUGUGGAUUAGCGGCGAACGGGUGAGGAACACGUGAGGAAUCUGCCUUUCACUUUGGGAUAACUCCGGGAAACCGGGGCUAAUACCGGAUAUUUUCAACUGGCGGCAUCGCCGGUGGAAGAAAGUUUUUCGGUGAAAGAUGACCUCGCGGCCUAUCAGCUUGUUGGUGAGGUAAUGGCUCACCAAGGCGACGACGGGUAGCCGGCCUGAGAGGGCGACCGGCCACACUGGGACUGAGACACGGCCCAGACUCCUACGGGAGGCAGCAGUGGGGAAUAUUGGGCAAUGGAGGAAACUCUGACCCAGCGACGCCGCGUGAGGGAUGAAGGCCUUCGGGUUGUAAACCUCUUUCAGCAGGGAAUAAGCGAAAGUGAAGGUACCUGCAGAAGAAGCACCGGCUAACUAUGUGCCAGCCGCCGCGGUAA
rnacentral:rRNA from 1 species